AAACAGCCCCCUAUGUUUUGAUUCUUUGGCAGUUUUGGACCCCAAGACAAAAAAAAAUUAAAAAAUUGACACGUGGCACCUCACUUAGGGUGCCACGUCAGCGUUGACCGAGUCAACAAUGGACUAGGGGUCCAAAACUGCCAAAGAAUCAAAACAUAGGGGGCUGUUU
rfam:Medicago truncatula strain A17 chromosome 4, whole genome shotgun sequence.